rnacentral:tRNA from 1 species
GGGGAGAUACCAAAGUGGCCAACUGGAGCAGACUGUAAAUCUGUUGUCUUUCGACUUCGGAGGUUCGAAUCCUUCUCUCCCCA